UUUACGUGUUUUAGUGAGGGACGUUGGCAUAAAUGAAUAAAGAAGAAUUCUUAUAUACAUGAGAGGGAACUUGGUGAAGUCUAACCCCAACAACAUACUCAUCUCAUAUAAAUCAACCUCCAUUCAUCUCUGUGCUCUUUUGCCACUGAUCACUUUUACUUUGCUUUACUUUAUUCUUUUUGCUAUACAAUCCAUGAUCUCUUUUCUUUUAAGUCUUAAUUAAUCCCGUUUUCACACAAUUGUUCAGCGCCGAGAGUCCUCUGGGAUACGAUACUUGGUCUUACCAUUUUAUAUUACUUGUGCGACUUGGUACACUUGCCAAUUUGCCCCAACAGGUACAUAGAAUGGUGAAGCUUCUUGGAUCUUGAAGCUUAGGAGGCAACAUCUUUUGUAUGAUUGCACUAGAGUUUCCUUGCACUUCAAUGGUCUCUUUCUCAAUAUACUUUCUCUUCUUUGUGAGAAGCUCCUUCAAAACCUUUGCGUAAGAAGGCAUUUGCUACAGUGCUUCAGAAAAAGGUAUGGUGAUCUUUAACUUCUUAAAAAUCUCCAUGAACCUCUCUAAUUGUUUUUCUUUCUCCUUCCUUGGAUAACUCUUUGGAUAAGGAAGGGGUUUUUCAAACUCUUUCUCUUUUUUUUUUUUUUUUUAUCGUCAACCUCUUCUUUCUUUCUUUCUCUCUCAGCUCUCUCUUUUUCUCUCUUCUCACUAUCCUCCUCCUCUCUUUCUUUUUCAAUUUACUCUCUCCUUCCUCACUCAACCUUUCUUUCUCUUUUCUCUCAAUCUUUCUCUCAUCUAAUACCUUACCACUUCUAGUAACAAUGGUCUUAAACUCUUCCCUUGAAUCACCUCUCAUAUUCCUCUCACUCCCCUUCACCUUGUAUUUAGCCUCU
rnacentral:lncRNA from 1 species